CCACUCACGCCACUUUUACCUCUUUUUUUUGCCCAAACCCAUAAUUUUCCCCACUUUUCUUUCUUUUUACCAUAGGAAUUACAAAGCUAGGGUAUAAAUGAAAUUGAGCAGUUGAAACUCUAUGAAGCAUCAAGCCUUGUGUUCCUCUCUACAACCUAGGGUUUCAUUCUUCUUCUUCUCAAGAUAAGCUCUAAUCUUGUAGUACUAUUAUGAAAUUGGGUACCUUUUUUAUACUCCAAUCAUCUCUUUAUUUUUCAGGUAUUGGUUCUUUUUAUAAUUACAUGUACUACAAUUUUAUAAUUAUAUUCAGAUUUUAACAUUGCUGAUGAAUGUACAGGAGUUGCUUUUAUUUAUUUAUUUAUUUAUUGAAUAUUGCUCGUUAUAUGUCAACUGUGUGUAUUCUCUUAUAGAGCAAAUUAUUUUUGAAUUGGGUUUGAUUUUGAAUUACAUUCAGUUUUUCUGUUGUUUCCGUUUUAGCAUCCCUAGUUCUUCUACUUUUCUUUAACAAGACUAUUAUUGUAUGAGAAGUCUAAAUUAUGGUCUUCAAAAUUAAUAAUUAUUUUUGAAGCAAAAUUAGGAGAAAUCCACUUCCAUUAAAAACCAUGUCGAUAUGUAUGUGUAUCAUAAUUAUGGUCUAAUUAACUAUUCUAUAGCUUAUAAAAGAGAAAGGGUAAAGGAAACUAACAAAGUUAUAUCUUAAGCAGAAUUUACAGGGUUUGUUUGCAUUUAGUUUUGGAAAAGUUUUUCUGUGACCUAUGUGUUUCCAUUAGAUUUUAAUAAAAUUAAUGAUAAGCUUUUCUGUUUUUUUUUACCCCAAAUAGCUUAAAAAUAUACUAUUUCACUGAAUUGCUCUACGGUCAUAGAUGAGAUUUAUUACUAACAUGAUGACAUAUAAGUGAAGUUAUACUGAUAAUUCUGCUAAUUGGAGUUUGGUUUGACCUUAUUUGUGCUACUUUAAGUACUACAUCAUGAGUUAGACUCCAUAUUUAGAGUCCCUUUGUUUUAAGAAUCAUGUUAACAGAGAACUUGAAGUAAGUGAUGACUUUGUUCACGUGCUAUGUGCUAUCAUAUGUGCUAUGUGCUAUCAUAUGUUGAAACAAUUAGAAAAUAACGUCUUGUUGUAUGAAUAUUAAGAAUGCACUUUUUACUUAAAAUAUUGGUGAGUGGUGUAUCAGUAAAGAACAUAUGGUUUUGGACAUAAAAGUUAAGCUUCAGGUGAAGUAUUUUAUUAACCUUAAAUCCUCCAAUCCUUUUUUAUCAGAUGCUUCCUUCUAUAGUAUUCUUUCUCUUCAGUUGUAUAGUAUAUCUGUAUCAUAUUCGUUUAAAAUGAAGAAUGUAGAAGCAAUACUACUAAGGGAUAGUUUAGAAUUUAAUAUUAUUCCUCAUGCUUUGAGCUCAUUUUUCGUGAUAAUUUGCCUUUCAUUUCCUUUAAUUUGAAUACUCAAUUGAGGUGAAUUAUUGACAUUUGUAGCUGAUAAAUAUUUGAAUUAAAUGUUUCUAAGACAAAGCUAUAGUUUGAUAUAGAAUAGUGUUGAUUAUACCUAGAUUUACCUGAUAUGUUACAGAAAAGAGUUGAAGUCUUAUGUAAAAGUUUAUGUGUUUUGUAGUACCUUUUUGCUACUAGCUCUAAUAAAUUGCCUUUACCUUUAGCAAAAUAAAGAAAAUUAAAAUAUGUUUAGUUACCCAGACUACAAAGUAUAUUCGUCUUUAUUUUUCCUGUCAAUGUAAAGUUUAAGUUGAAAUUGAAAGUAGUAUGGGCACGCAUGCUGCACAAAUAGAGAAAGGUAUUAUGAAGAAUGUUUGAUGCUGAAUUUUGCUUUAACAUUUGGAACUGUAUAAAUUAAGAAGACCUUUUUAAAAUUAUCCUGAUAAAGUCCUGCAUCUACAACCAUAUUGUUGUUCAUUUUAUUACAAGCCCCUGAUUCUCAAGACGAGCUACUCAUUAAGAUUUGGAACAACUUAACUUGAGAAUAUUAUAAUGUAUCUAUUCUCGUGUUACUACUUGCCGUUGUCUUUUAUUUUGAUUUUCUGAUUGCAUUACCUAUUGCUAGUUUUGUAUUUUCGCUUCGGUGUCAAAUCGGUUUGCUUGUUAUUGCCCCUCCCCUUUUUCCUUCUUGAGCCGAGGGUCUACUGGAAACUGCCUAUCUUCCUUCUUAAAGGCAGGUGUAAGGUCUGCAUACACUUUACCCUCCCCAGGCUCCACUUGUGGAAUUAUACUGGAUAUGUUAUUGCUGGUGGUAGUGGUAUAUCAGUAAAAAUUAUUAUUCCUUAUGGAUAUCAUUGCCUAUAGAUUCCUCUCUUCUAAUAGAUAACACUAACACUUUCGUUAUAGUUCUAUAUUGACUAGAUAUUAGAUAUUUUUGAUGUUGCUACAUUUACUCUUACAAUGGUUCUCUGUAUUGUCUAGUUAUGAUCUUUCGCCAAGGGAUAGUAUAUAUAGAGAGUUUUCUCUGUUAGAAGUUAUAGAGAUUGAGUGUAUUGCCUUAAGAGAACAAAUAAAAGAUAGAGCAUUCUUUAGUUUCUAUACCAAGAUAAGAUUCUAAAGGUAAUUUAAGGUACUAUUUUCUUAAUCAACAACCACACUAUAAGAGCAUCAAUACAAAGUAAAUUCUUUUUUAAUUUUCCUGAUUUGUAGCUUAUUUAUAAAAUCGUUACCAAAAAAUAUUCUCAAUUAUCAAGAUUACUAGAAAUUUAACAUAUUUAUCCAUACUUUAUUGUAAAACUAUUAAGGCUAUUACUUGGGUUAUAGGCCAAUGAAAUGGUUGAUGUGAGAAAUUAUUUAAAUGGAUUAUAAAAAUAAUCUUCGAAAGUAGAUUUACUAAUAUUCCUUAGUAAAGGUGAAUAAUAUGAUUUUGUUCGCUUGUGUUCACUUCUUGUUUAUUGCUAUACUAAUAUUUUUUGGUUGAAUAUAUAUGUAUAUUAAUUUUGUGCAUGUACCAGAUUAUGGCACCUGAUAAGCAAUGGAUGAAACUUAUUCAUGAUCCACUUGAUAACGCUUACAUACUUGGGGUAGAGAAUUUUCUGGAUUAUGAUUUUAAAAGAUUAGGAGAAACACACGAAAUACGUUGUCCAUGCGUCAAAUGUUGUAAUGCAAUUUCAGAAACACGUGAGCUGAUUAGGUCACAUUUAAUAGUAUACGGAAUAGUCCAAAAUUAUACUCUUUGGUAUCACAAUGGGGAGAGAUUAGGUGAGUCUUUUUCAAAUUAUGAGUUUGUAGAUGAUAAUAUCAUUGAAGAGAGUGAUGAUGAGGAUGAAAUACAUAAAAUUUUAAGAGAUUUGUAUCCCACUUUUGAAGGAGACAAUAUGUACAAUAGUGGUGGUGGGCUGUUUGGGGAGGAACCAAAUAUUGAAGCAAAAAGAUUGUAUAGGAUUUUAAAGGAUUUUGAGCAACCAUUAUACCAAGAUUCAAAUAUUUCUGAACUUUCUACUUUGGUAAAGUUGCUUCAUAUUAAAAGUAUUGGUAAUUGGAGUAAUGCGUCAUUUACAAUGUUGUUGAAGCUCUUGAAGGAAGAUUUAUUGCCAGAUGGAUCAAAUUUGCCAGAUUCAUAUUACGAAGCAAAGAAGGUAAUCCGGCACCUAGGGCUUUCUUACAAGAAGAUUGAUGCAUGUAAGAAUAAUUGUAUGUUAUACUGGAAGGAUGAUAAGUCUCUUGAGUCUUGCAAAGUUUGUGGUGCAUCUAGAUGGAAGGAGGAUAAACGUAGUGGGGAAACCAAAUUUAAAAGUGGGAAAAAGAUAUCAUACAAGAUUUUACGUUAUUUUCCUCUAAAGCCAAGACUUCAAAGAUUAUUUAUAUCCUCGAAAAUAUCUUCUUUGAUGAGAUGGCAUCAUGAAAAAAGAGUUGAUGAUGGAAUAAUGAGGCACCCAACUGUAAAAGAAAAUAAAUCACUAAAAGGACGUUUGGAAGGGUUAGAGAGUAAAUAUGAUGAGCUGGGGAGUAAAUACACACAACUUGCAAAGAUAGUGUUUGAUCAGCCUUCAUUACCAUUUUCAAGUGAUCAAUAGAUUGAAUCAUUUAACAUGUUAGUAUAUUCAAAAUCCUAUUUUACUCUAUGAUGAAAAUAUUGCAACGCUCAUGUGAAUUUUUUCUUUAUGUCAUUAAUAUUUAUGAAUAAAUAAAAAUAUAGUCAAUGAAACAAGUGAAUUUAAGCAAGAAUGAAGCUUCAAAUAUUAUGUACAUGGUGCACUUGUGCUUGCUAACAUACGAGGAGAUAAAGGACUUUUGGAGAGAUUUUACAUUAGAUAUAUGUUGUUGUCUGCUAAAGUAAUGUGCUGCUGUCUGCUCCUUUUUUUUUUAUCUGCUAUUCUAUCUAAUAUCUCCACACUUUUAAAGAAUAUGGCUUCAAGACUUGAAACUUAGAAUGCUAUACGGAGUCCUCCAGUCGUAUAAUCAUAAAUUAAAAAAUUACGUACUGUGGUGAAAGACAUGUUACACUAGCCAUCUUGCAGACACACUUAAGAUUUUCUUUUCUUAAAUGCUUGGUCAUUGUUCUUCCUUUAAUAAGUACUGGUUCAUUUUUUUGUAAGCUGGUGGAAGAUUGCCAAAUAGUAUCCAGGAACAUUGGUUGAGAUUCAUGACGUUUGUUUUGGGUUUUGUGUCGGGGAAAAUUUUGGAAAGGUAAAAAAGUGUAUUUUGGGUCCAAUAAUGAUUGGGUAAUUUGGUAUAAGUUAGUUUGGUACUUGGCUAGAAUUUAAUUGAACUUAUCACUUCUUUGGCUAGUCAACUUACUUCUCGUGAAUAUGGUUAUCUAUCUGUGCAUUCGAUAAUUUAAGGUGUUAUCUGUUCAUUUUCUUCUUUGGUUAUUUAUUCUUUGUUACUAAACUGGCAUAAAUUUAUUAUUUUAACAGAUCAAAAAUUUAAAAUCCGAAGAACCUAUCCUUGAAGAAAGUGUAGAGCAAGUUGAAGUUCAAGAGGUUUUUGGUUCCUCAACGAUGGUUUAAAGACACUGUCUUAUGUACAUAUAUAUGCUGUAAUUUUAUUUUUAUUCUUUUUAGGAAUUAUUUAAAAUGAUGCUUAACACAUCUCACUUUAUGCUUCUAGUUGUCUCCUAGCUGGGUUUGCAUUAUUUUUACUUUUAUUGUUUUAGUAAGAUGGGUUUGUUAUAAUUUGGAUUGGUUUCUGGUAAAUAUGAUACUUUAGUUCUUUGUAUUAACAAGAUAUCAAGUAUUUAAUUUAUUUUUCAAUGCUGUUAAGC
rnacentral:lncRNA from 1 species